CAGUCGCCGCGGGAAUACGUAGGUGGCAAGCGUUGUCCGGAUUUGUUGGGCGUAAAGCGAGCGCAGGCGGUCAAUUAAGUCUGAUGUGAAAGCCCCCGGCUCAACCGGGGAGGGUCAUUGGAAACUGGUUGACUUGAGUGCAGAAGAGGAGAGUGGAAUUCCAUGUGUAGCGGUGAAAUGCGUAGAUAUAUGGAGGAACACCAGUGGCGAAGGCGACUCUCUGGUCUGUAACUGACGCUGAGGCUCGAAAGCGUGGGUAGCAAACAGGAUUAGAUACCCCCGUAGUCCCUGUCUCUUAUAC
rnacentral:rRNA from 1 species